rnacentral:rRNA from 1 species
UACAGAGGUCCCAAGCGUUGUUCGGAUUCAUUGGGCGUAAAGGGUGCGUAGGCGGCGCGGUAAGCGGGUGUGAAAUCUCGGAGCUUAACUCCGAAACUGCAUUCGAUACUGCCGUGCUUGAGGACUGGAGAGGAGACUGGAAUUUACGGUGUAGCGGUGAAAUGCGUAGAUAUCGUAAGGAAGACCAGUGGCGAAGGCGGGUCUCUGGACAGUUCCUGACGCUGAGGCACGAAGGCCAGGGGAGCAAACGGG